rnacentral:lncRNA from 1 species
UAGUGCUGACCACUGAAAAACAAGUAAAACAUUGAUUUCUGACAUAGGAAGCAUUUGAAUACACGCUAACAGAGCCAGCUAGAUAGCCAGAAACAGGGCAAGACUGAGCAGCAAAACAAAUGACCCCAUGGCUAUGCAAGUGUGCGAUACAAAUGGGAAGUCAGCCACCUAUAUAGGCCAUGAAUAAUGAAAGUGGCGACUGUGGUUAGCUCGAAUGACCUCAAGAUGAUGACAGGUGAAUUCUAGAGAUAAAGCAGUAGAAGAUAUUUUUGCAAAAAAAUGUAACUCGCUCGUCAAAUAGUUGUCAUUCUCAGAGCCAGA